GAAUAUUGGUCAAUGGACGCAAGUCUGAACCAGCCAUGCCGCGUGAAGGAUGAAGGUCCUCUGGAUUGUAAACUUCUUUUAUCUGGGACGAAAACGGGAUUUUUAUCUCAAUUGACGGUACCAGAGGAAUCAGCACCGGCUAACUCCGUGCCAGCAGCCGCGUUAAUACGGAGGGUGCGAGCGUUAUCAGGAUUUACUGGGUUUAAAGGGUGCGUAGGUGGGCUUAUAAGUCAGUGGUGAAAUCUCCGAGCUUAACUUGGAAACUGCCGUUGAUACUAUAGGUCUUGAAUUAUCUGGAGNUAAGCGGAAUAUGUCAUGUAGCGGUUAAAUGCUUAGAUAUGACAUAGAACACCAAUUGCGAAGGCAGCUUACUACAUAUAAAUUGACGCUGAGGCACGAAAGCGUGGGGAU
rnacentral:rRNA from 1 species